CGCGCUCAGGGAUGACGAGAGAAGACUCAGAGACCCUUUUCUUUACUUUCGUGUGCGUUUAUGAAAAGCAAACCACAUACACACUUAUACGAACUUGUAUAUUGGCAUCCUGAUCUUGAAAAUAAAGCUGAUAAAGGAU